ACUCAAAUGAAUUGACGGGGGCCCGCACAAGCGGUGGAGCAUGUGGCUUAAUUCGAUGCAACGCGAAGAACCUUACCAGGGCUUGACAUGGUACUGCAAGCUGCCGAAACGCAGUCGCUUUCGAAGGUGUAUCACAGGUGGUGCAUGGCUGUCGUCAGCUCGUGUUGUGAAAUGUUGGGUUAAGUCCCGCAACGAGCGCAACCCUCAUGUUCUGUUGCCAGCGAGUAAUGUCGGGAACUCGGAACAAACUGCCUCUGUAAGGAGGAGGAAGGUGGGGAUGACGUCAAGUCAUCAUGCCCCUUACGCCCUGGGCUGCACACAUGCUACAAUGGCCGGUACAAAGAGCUGCGAACUCGCGAGAGUAAGCUAAUCUCAAAAAGCCGGUCUCAGUUCGGAUUGGAGUCUGCAACUCGACUCCAUGAAGUUGGAAUCGCUAGUAACCGCCGGUCAGCAAUACGGCGGUGAAUACGUUCCCGGGCCUUGCACACACCGCCCGU
rnacentral:rRNA from 1 species